UGGGGAAUUUUGCACAAUGGGGGAAACCCUGAUGCAGCGACGCCGCGUGAUUUAGAAGGCCUUCGGGUUGUAAAAAUCUUUUCUAUGGGAAGAAAAUGACAGUACCAUAGGAAUAAGGACCGGCUAAUUACGUGCCAGCAGCCGCGGUAAUACGUAAGGUCCGAGCGUUGUCCGGAAUCAUUGGGCGUAAAGGGUACGUAGGCGGGUAAGCAAGUUAGAAGUGAAAUCCUAUAGCUCAACUAUAGUAAGCUUUUAAAACUGCUCAUCUGGAGGUAUGGAAGGGAAAGUGGAAUUCCUAGUGUAGCGGUGAAAUGCGCAGAUAUUAAGAGGAAUACCGGUGGCGAAGGCGACUUUCUGACCAUAUACUGACACUGAGGUACGAAAGCGUGGGUAGCAAACGGG
rnacentral:rRNA from 1 species